rnacentral:rRNA from 1 species
AUUGAACGCUGGCGGCAGGCCUAACACAUGCAAGUCGAACGAGUGGCGGACGGGUGAGUAAUGUCUGGGAAACUGCCUGAUGGAGGGGGAUAACUACUGGAAACGGUAGCUAAUACCGCAUACCAUCGGAUGUGCCCAGAUGGGAUUAGCGAGUAGGUGGGGUAAAGGCUCACCUAGGCGACGAUCCCUAGCCGGUCUGAGAGGAUGACCAGCCCCACUGGAACUGAGACACUGUCCAGACGCCGACUGGAGGCAGCAGUGUGGAAGAUUGGACGAUGUGCUCAAGCCUGAUGCAUCGAUGCCGCUGGUAUGAUGAAGGCCUUCGGGUUGUAAAGUACUUUCAGCGGGUAGGCUUUACCCGCAGAAGAAGCACCUGCUAACUUCGUGCCAGCAGCCUCGGUAAUUC